rnacentral:rRNA from 1 species
AGGGGAUCGUAAGACCUUGCGCUUUUGGAGCGGCCGAUGUCUGAUUAGCUAGUUGGUGGGGUAAUGGCCUACCAAAGCUUCGAUCAGUAGCUGGUCUGAGAGGACGGCCAGCCACACUGGGACUGAGACACGGCCCAGACUCCUACGGGAGGCAGCAGUGGGGAAUUUUGGACAAUGGGCGCAAGCCUGAUCCAGCCAUGCCGCGUGAGUGAAGAAGGCCUUCGGGUUGUAAAGCUCUUUCAGCCGGGAAGAAAAGGCUGCGACUAAUACUUGCAGUUCAUGACGGUACCGGAAGAAGAAGCACCGGCUAAUUACGUGCCAGCAGCCGCGGUAAUACGUAGGGUGCGAGCGUUAAUCGGAAUUACUGGGCGUAAAGCGUGCGCAGGCGGUUUUGUAAGUCAGAUGUGA